UCUACGGGAGGCAGCAGUGAGGAAUAUUGGUCAAUGGACGAGAGUCUGAACCAGCCAAGUAGCGUGAAGGAUGACUGCCCUAUGGGUUGUAAACUUCUUUUAUAUGGGAAUAAAAUGUUACACGUGUGGGCUUUUGUAUGUACCCUAUGAAUAAGGAUCGGCUAACUCCGUGCCAGAAGCCGCGGUAAUACGGAGGAUCCGAGCGUUAUCCGGAUUUAUUGGGUGUAAAGGGAGCGUAGGUGGAUUAGUAAGUCAGUUGGGAAAGUUUGCGGCUCAACCGGAAAAUUGCAGUUGAAACUGGCAGUCUUGAGUACAGUAGAGGUGGGCGGAAUUCGUGGUGUAGCGGUGAAAUGCUGAGAUAUCACGAAGAACACCGAUUGCGAAGGCAGCUCACUGGACUGCAACUGACACUGAGGCUCGAAAGUGUGGGUAUCAAACAGGAUUAGAUACCCUUGUAGUC
rnacentral:rRNA from 1 species